AUUGAACGCUGGCGGCAGGCCUAACACAUGCAAGUCGAACGCGUGGCGGACGGGUGAGUAAAGUCUGGGAAACUGCCCGAGGGAGGGGGAUAACUACUGGAAACGGUAGCUAAUACCGCAUACCAUCGGAUGUGCCCCGAUGGGAUUAGCUAGUAGGUGGGGGAAAGGCUCACCGAGGCGACGAUCCCUAGCUGGUCUGAGAGGAUGACCAGCCACACUGGAACUGAGACACGGUCCAGACUCCUACGGGAGGCAGCAGUGGGGAAUAUUGCACAAGGGGCGCAAGCCUGAUGCAGCCAUGCCGCGUGUAUGAAGAAGGCCUUCGGGUUGUAAAGUACUUUCAGCGAGGAGGCGUUACUCGCAGAAGAAGCACCGGCUAACUCCGUGCAAGCAGCCGCGGUAAUAC
rnacentral:rRNA from 1 species